rnacentral:rRNA from 1 species
UACGUAGGUGGCAAGCGUUGUCCGGAUUUACUGGGCGUAAAGAGCGCGCAGGCGGUCGUUCAAGUCGCGUGUGAAAGCCCCCGGCUCAACUGGGGAGGGUCACGCGAUACUGAUCGACUCGAAGGCAGGAGAGGGUAGUGGAAUUCCCGGUGUAGUGGUGAAAUGCGUAGAUAUCGGGAGGAACACCAGUGGCGAAGGCGGCUGACCUGGCCUGUUCUUGACGCUGAGGCGCGAAAGCUAGGGGAGCAAACGGGG